CCUUUGGAGUGUCAUAAGAAAUUGGAGUAGCUUAGGCAAAACAAGACACUGUGAAUAAGGAA
rnacentral:sRNA from 1 species